rnacentral:misc_RNA from 1 species
GAGCUCUAUGGAACGACCCAAGGUAUUGUAAUCUUCUUUGAGCCUUAACAUUUGUUUAGUUUAAUGAUGAUCUAUUAAAAAUUGUUAACAUCAAUCUCAAGCCCCGCAAAUGAAAAUCAGAAGGAUUUUUUAAUGUCAUUCUAACUGUUAGCAGAACAAAGAUAGUGUGUGCCUUUUAUGGCUUGGGCAAAUUCCAAUUUUAUGCAAUCAUAUAUUUUGAGGUGGAAAUUGUAGGCUAAGCUUGCUUUAAACUUUCAAUGACACAUUAUGGAGCAAGUUGAGUUUUUUAAUAAAUUGAAGUUAUGCUUGCAUUUUGACUCCGUAUUUUCUUUGUGCUGUUUUGAAUGUCAUAACCAUGCCUAAAAUUGCUUAUGUGAGAUGAUGUUGCUGUUAUUUUCAUUGCUGUUAUCAUGUGCCCUAUCUCUCACCAUUGGCGAACUGGUCAUAAUAUGAGCUUAAUUUCACCCACCAUCUCUCAAUUUUGUUUGUUGUUUCAUUAUUAUCCCUUAGCUUCAAUUAGUAUCACAGAAAUACUUAAACUUCAAUUUAAUA